rnacentral:rRNA from 1 species
AAUAUUGGAUUAUGGGCGAAAGCCUGAUCUAGCCAUGCCGCGCCGCUGAAGAAGGUCUUCGGAUGGUAAAGUACUUCAAGUUGGCAGGACGGGAUGUAGGCUAUUACCCUGCAAUUUUGACGUUACUAACCGAAUACGCACAGGCUAACUUCGUGUCAGUAGCCGCGGUAAUACGAAGGGUGUAAGCGUUAAUCGGAAUUACUGGGCGUAAAGCGCGCGUAGGUGGUUCAGUAAGUUGGAAGUGAAAGCCCCGGGCUCAACCUGGGAACUGCUUUCAAAACUAGCAAGCUAGAGUAUGGCAGAGGGUGGUGGAAUUUCCUGUGUAGCGGUGAAAUGCGUAGAUAUAGGAAGGAACACCAGUGGCGAAGGCGACCGCCUGGGCUGAUACUGACACUGAGGUGCGAAAGCGUGGGGAGCAAACAGG